CUGGCGGACUGGCAGCAGAGGCUGCAGAUACCUUUGCGCGCUUGCCUCGGCCUUGUCACGCUGCCGAGGUCGGGGGCGGCGCCCUGCUGCCUCCGAGCAAUCUGCCUGCUGCUGGGCCUUCCGCGAUUGCCAGCAGACCACACCGCCCUCCUGAAAUCAUGGGUGUUGCUAGACACAGCUGGGACUCUGCCAAGCUCUGGUGCUCAUUCUAAGACAAGGGCUGCCUUCCAGUCCUGCUUGCCCUGCCUGUCAUGGCCGUACUCCAAUGCUACCCUCUUGUUUGGGGACACAGGGCACCCAGCCCCAGCCCUGAGAAGUUAAGCCAGGCCUUCUGGCUGCAUUCCACAGGGACACUGAAGACCCCAGUCUCCUUUCAGAGCAAGAGCAAGUGAUGCCAUGGGAGAAGCCCCUGACCACCUGUCCACUUGCCUGGCACUGCCUGUUCUGAGACCCAUGUACUGGGUCCUUAUGCAGGUGCCAACCCUGUGAGCUCCUCCCCAUCCCUUGACACAGAGAAGGCCCUGCCCGCCCCCACCAUGUGUGAAGUGAUGCCCACGAUCAAUGAGGGGGACCCCCUGGGCCCCCCACAUGGCGCUGAUGCUGACGCCAACUUUGAGCAACUGAUGGUGAAUAUGCUGGAUGAGCGAGAGAAGUUGCUGGAGUCCCUUCGGGAGAGUCAGGAAACUUUGGUAGCCACACAGAGCCGACUCCAGGAUGCCCUACAUGAGAGGGACCAGCUCCAGCGCCACCUGAACUCCGCCCUCCCCCAGGAAUUUGCCACCUUAACUCGGGAGCUGAGUAUGUGUCGGGAGCAGCUUCUGGAGCGAGAGGAGGAAAUAUCAGAGCUGAAAGCAGAACGGAAUAAUACAAGGCUGCUUCUGGAACAUCUGGAAUGCCUUGUAUCCCGCCAUGAACGGUCAUUGAGAAUGACGGUGGUAAAGCGCCAGGCCCAGUCACCUUCAGGUGUCUCCAGUGAGGUGGAGGUGCUGAAGGCCCUUAAGUCACUAUUUGAGCACCACAAGGCCCUGGAUGAGAAGGUACGUGAACGGCUCCGGGCAGCACUAGAACGUGUUACUGUCUUGGAGGAGCAGCUGGCAGGAGCCCACCAGCAGGUAUCUGCCCUGCAGCAAGGGGCAGGAGUUCGGGAUGGAGUGGCAGAAGAGGAGGGGACUGUGGAGCUGGGACCAAAGCGCCUGUGGAAGGAUGACAUGGGCCGGGUGGAGGAGCUGCAGGGGCUCCUGGAAAAGCAAAACUUUGAGCUGAGCCAGGCCCGGGAGCGACUGGUUACCCUGACUGCAACUGUGGCUGAACUUGAGGAGGACCUGGGUACAGCCCGCCGGGACCUCAUCAAGUCUGAGGAGCUGAGCAGCAAGCAUCAGCGGGACCUCCGAGAGGCUCUGGCCCAGAAGGAGGACAUGGAGGAGCGAAUCACCACACUGGAGAAGCGCUACCUGGCUGCUCAGCGUGAGGCCACAUCCAUCCAUGACCUCAAUGAUAAAUUGGAGAAUGAGUUGGCCAAUAAGGAGUCCCUGCACCGCCAGUGUGAGGAGAAGGCCCGACACCUGCAGGAACUACUAGAAGUGGCAGAGCAGAAGUUGCAGCAGACAAUGCGCAAGGCGGAGACUUUGCCAGAGGUGGAAGCUGAGCUGGCUCAGAGAAUUGCAGCUCUCACCAAGGCUGAGGAACGGCAUGGCAACAUUGAGGAGCACCUGCGGCAGCUGGAAGGGCAGCUGGAGGAGAAGAACCAGGAGCUGGCGAGGGUACGCCAGCGUGAGAAGAUGAAUGAAGAUCACAACAAGAGGCUAUCAGACACUGUGGACCGGCUGCUUAGUGAGUCCAAUGAGCGUCUCCAGCUCCACCUCAAGGAGCGUAUGGCUGCUCUGGAGGAGAAGGGCCGCCUGUCUGAAGAGAUUGAGAAGCUACGCCAAGAGGUGGACCAACUGAAGGGUCGAGGGGGGCCAUUUGUGGAUGGCAUCCACUCCAGGUCACAUGUGGGCAGCACAGCUGAUGUGCGGUUUUCUCUGAGUACCACCACGCACGUGUCCCCAGGUCUGCAUCGCCGCUACUCGGCACUGAGGGAAGAGUCUGCUAAGGACUGGAAGCCAUCACCACUGCCAGGGGUGCUGGCCCCUACUGCCACCCCUGUCUUUGACAGUGACCCUGAAAUCUCAGAUGUGGAUGAGGAUGAGUCUGGGGGCUUGGUUGGUGCUGUUGAUGUGGUGUCUCCUGGUGGCCACUCUGAUGCCCAGACCCUGGCCAUGAUGCUGCAGGAGCAACUAGAUGCCAUCAACCAGGAGAUCAGGAUGAUCCAGGAGGAAAAGGAGUCCACUGAGCUCCGAGCUGAGGAGAUUGAGACCCGUGUGACCAGUGGCAGCAUGGAGGCCCUUAACCUGACGCAGCUGCGAAAGCGUGGCUCUAUCCCUACCUCUCUGACUGCCCUGUCCCUGGCCAGUGCAUCUCCUCCACUCAGUGGCCGUUCCACACCCAAGCUCACUUCCCGAAGUGCUGCCCAGGAUCUGGACCGAAUGGGGGUCAUGACCCUGCCUAGUGACUUAAGAAAGCAUAGGAGGAAGCUGCUGUCGCCAGUGUCUCGGGAAGAGAACCGAGAGGAUAAAGCCACCAUAAAAUGUGAGACUUCUCCUCCUUCCUCACCCAGGACGCUGCGGCUAGAGAAGCUCGGCCAUCCAGCCCUGAGUCAAGAAGAAGGCAAGAGUGCCUUGGAGGGUCAGGACAGCAACCCCAGCAGCAGCAACAGCAGCCAGGACUCCCUGCACAAGGGCGCCAAGCGCAAGGGCAUCAAGUCAUCCAUUGGCCGCCUGUUUGGGAAGAAGGAGAAAGGCAGGCUGAUCCAGCUGAGUCGAGAUGUCACAGGCCAUGUUCUGGUAACAGACUCCGAGCUCAGUCUGCAGGAACCCAUGGUACCUGCCAAGCUGGGGACCCAGGCAGAAAAGGACCGGCGACUGAAGAAGAAACAUCAGCUGCUUGAAGAUGCCCGCAGAAAAGGAAUGCCCUUUGCCCAAUGGGAUGGCCCGACUGUGGUCUCCUGGCUGGAGCUCUGGGUGGGGAUGCCAGCUUGGUAUGUGGCAGCCUGCCGGGCCAAUGUCAAGAGUGGUGCCAUCAUGUCUGCCCUGUCGGACACAGAGAUCCAGCGGGAAAUCGGCAUCAGUAAUGCCCUGCACCGGCUCAAGCUCCGCCUGGCCAUUCAGGAGAUGGUGUCACUGACCAGCCCCUCAGCUCCACCCACCUCUAGGACAUCUUCAGGGAAUGUCUGGGUCACCCAUGAAGAGAUGGAAACUCUGGCAACAUCUACCAAAACAGACAGUGAGGAAGGCAGCUGGGCUCAGACCCUGGCCUAUGGAGACAUGAAUCACGAAUGGAUUGGGAACGAAUGGCUGCCCAGCCUGGGGCUCCCCCAGUACCGCAGCUACUUCAUGGAGUGCCUGGUAGAUGCACGCAUGCUGGAUCACCUCACCAAAAAGGACCUACGGGUCCACCUGAAGAUGGUGGACAGCUUCCAUCGAACCAGCCUUCAGUAUGGCAUCAUGUGUCUGAAGAGGCUAAAUUAUGACCGGAAAGAGCUGGAGAAGAGGCGGGAGGAGAGCCAGCAUGAGAUCAAGGAUGUGCUGGUCUGGACCAAUGACCAGGUGGUUCACUGGGUGCAGUCUAUUGGGCUAAGAGACUACGCGGGAAACCUACAUGAGAGUGGUGUACAUGGUGCCCUGCUGGCACUGGAUGAAAACUUUGACCACAACACAUUGGCCUUGGUCCUGCAAAUCCCCACACAGAAUACCCAGGCCCGGCAAGUGAUGGAGCGAGAGUUCAAUAAUCUGUUGGCCUUGGGCACAGAUAGGAAGCUGGAUGAUGGGGAAGACAAGGUGUUCCGUCGAGCACCCUCUUGGAGGAAGCGUUUCCGGCCCCGGGAUCACGGCAGCGGAGGCAUGCUAGGCACCUCUUCCGAAACCCUCCCGGCAGGCUUCCGCGUGUCCACGCUCGGACCGCUGCAGCCGCCUCCCGCCCCGGCCAAGAAGAUCAUGCCAGAAGCCGGGACGGCGGGGGCGCAGAGACUGGAGCCCUCUACGGUCCGGACCUACUCCUGCUGACCCCCCACCCUCCCGCCCCGGGUCUGACGGGGGUGCGCCCCUGGCUCGGGCUCACUCCCACUAUCUCUACGGACACAUGCUCUCCGCCUUCCGGGACUAGCCACGGCCGGGGUCGGUAUCCUCCUGGUUUCGCAGGCUCAGCCGGCUAUGACCCCUCCUGCUUGUUCCCUUUCUUUCUCGGCUCCCAGUCUUCUCCACGACUUUCCAGUUGCCCCGGAUCUCAGAAUAUACUGAUCCACCCCCUCGGCAUCCCAUUAUCCGAGUCCCACUGAGUGCCCUUUGUAAGUCUCUAGUGGUUAUGGUCAGGGUCUCCUGUGUGUGGCGGCACCCAGGUUGUUGGUGCUUGGGAUUCUGGGGAAGGGAGAGAAGGGAAGCCCUGGGUGAAUGUGGCGUCAUCCUCUCUGUUCUAGGCUUAGCUUGGUCUAGACUAUAGAUUCUACCAGAACCAGGAUCUUGGACUAAAGCCUGACAUGGCCCUUCCAAGAAAAGGCCACUUCAGUGUCUGCCCUGCUUGGGCUAAUUGGCCUUCUGGUCUCUUCCACUCUGAGUGCUUUUGGCACCCCCCUCACUCCCCCAGCAUCAUUUCUUCCCCAACUUGUCACCAGGAUUUUUGGACCUGCAUCUAGGUCUUGCUUGGGACCUAAGAGGGGUAUAGAAUGCCCCAGGCUCCCUCAGGCCCAUGAGACCAAGAGGAGAACCAGGGAAGACUAAGGUAGAAACUCUGGGCCCUGACUGGAGCAGAAUCCCAAAUGUGAGGGAGAAAGGGACCCCAGAGCUUUGGGCCAAGGAUGAAGGUGGGGAAACUCCCUUCCUUGCCUAGUUAGAGGUUUAGGCAGGCAAAUCAGAAAGAAAGUUGUUGGCCUUAUUGUUCCCUAAGACCAAAGGGUAGUGGGAAUGACCUCCAGCUCCAGCCUCAGGCCCAGGUGGAGCUGCUGCUGGGCUGAGUGGGUCUUAGGCCUGAAGCAGAACGGAUUUAGUUAUGAGCUGCUGGCUCUGCCCUGAGGAAGAAAAUGGCUUCCUCUUCAGUGAAUCAUAUCCCAGGUCCAGGAGAGCCACUGUGGAAGAAGGCAGUCACUCCUGCUUGGCCUUAUGGCAUCCAGUCCUCCUUCAGAAUUCUUUGGGGGUUCCUGGGCUGGCUACUCAAAUUCUUGAUCUCCCCCGCCACACCAUUUUAAUUGCUUUCCCUGACAGCAUGGUGGAAACAGGACAGAGGAAUUCAGGCUCUGAUAGGCAUAUUCCUUCUUCAUCUAUUUCUUCACCUAUGGAGGGUCUGAAAGCUCAGGACCUAAUUUCACGGUGAACUGAUAAAACUUAGUGCUUCAUGGAAGCCAGAGGAAAUGGAACAUGCCUGGGGUUGUGUUUGUUGGAGAUGGGCAGUAUAGUGCCAUCCUACAGGUGACAAGUAGUUGGUUUGCCCCCUGACCCACUGGCAUUCUGAGCAGGGCCUAGGCUAGCUGGUGGGAAAAUGAGCCAGAACACCUUGUCUUGAAGGGGUUUAUUGUUGCUCAGUAGAGGAAAGCUUGGCCAAUAGUGGUGACUGAGGCAGGCAACCACCUGUCCUUACACACACUGUUUCUGUCUCCCUACCAGUCAGGGUGCUGGGAAUGGAGAUGAGAAACUGUUGAGUAGAAAGUGAAUUGGAUAGAGAGAAAGAGCCCCUGUUCCUGUGUAGUGGAUGCUGGGGUUAGAGUGAAACCUCAAAGCCCUAAGAUGGAUGGAGUUGAGCACUACAAGGCCACCAUUCUCCUUCUAGGGACUCUCCAUGGGCUAGCUAUUGGCAGAGUCAACCAUGCCUUUCCUCCACCUUGUAACCCUGUCAUGGUUGCCAUGUCAUAGGCAGCAGGCGAGGGAGCUAGGUACAUUCAGGGUCAGCAGGGAGGAUGGAGUAGAGGAAUCUGCAUGCAGUGAUGGAAGGCUGCUGUCUGGUGUACCCCUUGCCUCAUAGUCAAUUUAUCUUUUUUUCCUUUGGAGUUACCAGUGACCCCAAUCCUCUUUGUCAGUCUCCUGUGUCUCACCAGGUCCCUUCUUAGUACUGUAUUGGCUUUGUGCACAGGAGUGGGUGUGUGUGGGUGUGAGUGGGUGUGUAUGUACCAAUAAACAACCUGGUUUU